UACGUAGGGCGCAAGCGUUGUCCGGAAUUACUGGGCGUAAAGCGUGCGCAGGCGGUUCGUUAAGUCCGAUGUGAAAGCCCCGGGCUCAACCUGGGAACUGCAUUUGAAACUGGCGGGCUUGAGUGUGGCAGAGGGGGGUGGAAUUCCGCGUGUAGUAGUGAAAUGCGUAGAGAUGCGGAGGAACACCGAUGGCGAAGGCAGCCCCCUGGGCCAACACUGACGCUCAGGCACGAAAGCGUGGGGAGCAAACAGG
rnacentral:rRNA from 1 species